rnacentral:rRNA from 1 species
GACAGAGGAUGCAAGCGUUAUCCGGAAUGAUUGGGCGUAAAGCGUCUGUAGGUGGCUUUUUAAGUCCGCCGUCAAAUCCCAGGCUCAACCCUGGACAGGCGGUGGAAACUACCAAGCUGGAGUACGGUAGGGCAGAGGGAAUUCCGGUGGAGCGGUGAAAUGCGUAGAGAUCGGAAAGAACACCAACGGCGAAAGCACUCUGCUGGGCCGACACUGACACUGAUAGACGAAAGCUAGGGAGCAAAUGGG